UUCGAUUGGUGGAGCCGAAAUCUAUUAAUUAGCAUCCAAAAAGGAUGGGGUCAGAAUGCAGUUUUUGAAAAAUCUUUUCCUACUAAAAAUGCAUUCUUCGACACUAAUAUCAGAAAUGUUCCUAGCGCAUCCUUUAAGUAUGCAACAAAAACUUUAACUGCAAAUGACUCCGUAAUUCUGCUUUCUGCUGUCUUAUGUUCGCCUGGUAUUUCACUCGGUAAUUUUCCACUUUUUCGACGUGGUACUACAAUGACAACAACAAAACCUACUACAACAACAUCAAUAAUGGCAACAACUUCAAGUGAAAAAAAUUGAGCAGCUUUCUUGAAAAGUACCGCAUGGUACAACUGAAGUACCAGACGAGCAAAAUAAAAUAGCAGGUGGUUUUACUGCAAGUGACUUUCUGCCAUGCAGCCUUCUACAGAUUUAUGUUCGCCUGGUAUUUCACCUGCUACUACAACAACAUCAAUAAUAACAACAACUGCAUGUGGAGUAGCUGAAAAACCAGGCGAACAUUGUAAAAUAUCAAGUGGUUUUACUAUGAAGAGCAACUGAGAAAGAGGCCCUUCGUGGCAACAUCUAGCGGCCAAUAACAACGACUUGAGAUACUACAAUUACAACAACUGUCAUCUACAACAACAUCAAUAAUGAAAACAACUACAUGUGCAAAAAUUCAUCAACGUGCUUUUUAGUAAAAUGCCGCAUGGAACAACUGAAAUACGAGGCAUAUUCGAAUAAAGCAGCUGAGAAAGCCAAUACUUUUUUUAUAAUAUGAAAUAAGUUUGCAUUUGUUAUAUUUGAAAUUUUCUUGGUAAAUAUCUAUUUCUAUGCUUAUAUGAUAACAAUU